rnacentral:rRNA from 1 species
CUCGCAUCGGGAGCGCGGCGCGUCCACAGCCGUUAAACACCCCAAAUUUCUGAAAUGU